rnacentral:rRNA from 1 species
AACGAACGCUGGCGGCAGGCCUAACACAUGCAAGUCGAGCGAACCCUUCGGGGUUAGCGGCGGACGGGUGAGUAACGCGUGGGAACGUGCCCUUUGCUACGGAAUAGCCCCCGGGAAACUGGGAGUAAUACCGUAUGUGCCCUUCGGGGGAAAGAUUUAUCGGCAAAGGAUCGGCCCGCGUUGGAUUAGGUAGUUGGUGGGGUAAUGGCCUACCAAGCCGACGAUCCAUAGCUGGUUUGAGAGGAUGAUCAGCCACACUGGGACUGAGACACGGCCCAGACUCCUACGGGAGGCAGCAGUGGGGAAUCUUAGACAAUGGGCGCAAGCCUGAUCUAGCCAUGCCACGUGAUCGAUGAAGGCCUUAGGGUUGUAAAGAUCUUUCAGUGGGGAAGAUAAUGACUGUACCCACAGAAGAAGCCCCGGCUAACUCCGUG